AGCGAACGCUGGCGGCAGGCUUAACACAUGCAAGUCGAGCGGGCGUAGCAAUACGUCAGCGGCAGACGGGUGAGUAACGCGUGGGAACGUACCUUUUGGUUCGGAACAACACAGGGAAACUUGUGCUAAUACCGGAUAAGCCCUUACGGGGAAAGAUUUAUCGCCGAAAGAUCGGCCCGGCGUCUGAUUAGCUAGUUGGUGAGGUAACGGCUCACCAAGGCGACGAUCAGUAGCUGGCUGAGAGGAUGAUCAGCCACAUUGGGACUGAGACACGGCCCAAACUCCUACGGGAGGCAGCAGUGGGGAAUAUUGGACAAUGGGCGCAAGCCUGAUCCAGCCAUGCCGCGUGAGUGAUGAAGGCCCUAGGGUUGU
rnacentral:rRNA from 1 species